rnacentral:rRNA from 1 species
UACGAAGGGGGCUAGCGUUGUUCGGAAUCACUGGGCGUAAAGCGCACGUAGGCGGAUGUGUCAGUCAGGGGUGAAAUCCCGGAGCUCAACUUCGGAACUGCCCUUGAUACAGCACGUCUUGAGUCCGGAAGAGGUGGGUGGAAUUCCUAGUGUAGAGGUGAAAUUCGUAGAUAUUAGGAAGAACACCGGUGGCGAAGGCGGCUUUCUGGACACUUACUGACGCUGAGACGCGAAAGCGUGGGGAGCAAACAGG